GCCAGACUCCUACGGGAGGCAGCAGUGGGGAAUAUUGCACAAUGGGGGAAACCCUGAUGCAGCGACGCCGCGUGAGUGAAGAAGUAUUUCGGUAUGUAAAGCUCUAUCAGCAGGGAAGAUAAUGACGGUACCUGACUAAGAAGCCCCGGCUAACUACGUGCCAGCAGCCGCGGUAAUACGUAGGGGGCAAGCGUUAUCCGGAUUUACUGGGUGUAAAGGGUGCGCAGGUGGCAGGGCAAGUCAGAUGUGAAAGCCCGGGGCUCAACCCCGGUAUUGCAUUUGAAACUGUCCGGCUAGAGUGCAGGAGAGGUAAGCGGAAUUCCUAGUGUAGCGGUGAAAUGCGUAGAUAUUAGGAGGAACACCAGUGGCGAAGGCGGCUUACUGGACUGUAACUGACACUGAGGCACGAAAGCGUGGGGAGCAAACAGGAUUAGAUACCCGAGUAU
rnacentral:rRNA from 1 species